UACGUAGGGGGCAAGCGUUGUCCGGAAUCAUUGGGCGUAAAGCGCGUGUAGGCGGUUCGGUAAGUCCGCUGUGAAAGUCGGGGGCUCAACCCUCGAAAGCCGGUGGAUACUGUCGGACUAGAGUACGGAAGAGGCGAGUGGAAUUCCUGGUGUAGCGGUGAAAUGCGCAGAUAUCAGGAGGAACACCAAUUGCGAAGGCAGCUCGCUGGGACGUUACUGACGCUGAGACGCGAAAGCGUGGGGAGCAAACAGG
rnacentral:rRNA from 1 species